AAAGUUACUCAAGCGCACAUAGAGGAUGCCUUGACGCAAAAUACCGACGAAGGACGCGGCAGUCUGCGAUAAGCUUCGGGGAGCUGGCAAGCAAGCUUUGAACCGAAGAUGUCCGAAUGGGGAAACCCAGCCGGGGUAAUGCCCGGUUAUCCAUGCCUGAACACAUAGGGCAUGAGAAGGUAAGCUCCCGAACUGAAACAUCUUAGUAGGGAGAGGAAAAGAAAAUAACCAAUGAUUCCGAAAGUAGUGGCGAGCGAAAUCGGAACAGCCCAAACCUUGAAGGUUUUUGCCUGUCAAUCCGCGGAUUUUCAAUCGGCGGGGAGAGGGGCGAAUACGGUUGACAGGCCAAUGCCUUUGCAAGGGGUUGUAAGGUACAAAUGUUCAGAUCAGGCAGCGAACGGCGACGUUUGCUACUGGAUUUGCAAGACGACUGCUGUCAGAGUCGUCAUAAAGUCAGAAAUUUGAAGCCCGAGCAGAACCGUUUGGAAAGACGGACCACAGAGAGUGAUAGUCUCGUAUGUGAAGGGUUUCAAACUUUAUUAUUUGUAUUCUUGAGUAGGGCGGGGCACGAGAAACCCUGUCUGAAUCCGGGAGGACCACCUUCCAAGGCUAAAUAUAUUUUGCGAUCGAUAGUGGACAAGUACCGUGAGGGAAAGGUGAAAAGAACCCCUGGCAGGGGAGUGAAAUAGACCUGAAACUGUGUGCGUACAAGGAGUCGGAGCCCUUCGGGGUGACGGCGUGCUUUUUGCAGAACGAUCCAGCGAGUUACCGUACGACAGCGAGCUUAAGCCAAUUGAGGCGGAGGCGCAGUGAAAGCGAGGCUUAAACGGCCGAUUUAGUUGCGUGCGGUAGACCCGAAACCGGGUGAGCUAUCCAUGGGCAGGCUGAAGCGCAGGUGAAACUGCGUGGAGGGCCGCACCAGUACGUACAGCGUUUGGAUGACCUGUGGAUAGGGGUGAAAAGCCAACCGAACCCGGAGAUAGCUGGUUCUCCUCGAAAUAGCUUUAGGGCUAGCGUCAUGUCGUAGCCAUUGGGGGUAGAGCUCUGUUUUGGAACGGGGCCCUCGCGGGUACCCUUCCUUGAUAAACUACGAAUACCAAUGGUGUAAUCAUGGCAGUUAGAACAUCGGCGCUAAGGUCGAUGCUCGAAAGGGAAACAGCCCAGACCAACAGUUAAGGUCCCUAAAUGCAUGCUAAGUGGGAAACGAGGUUAGAUUUCAUAAACAGCGAGGAUGUUGGCUUAGAAGCAGCCAUUCAUUUAAAGAGUGCGUAACAGCUCACUCGUCAAGAGAUCUUGCGCGGAAAAUGUAACGGGGCUCAAGCAUGCUACCGAAACUUUGGAUUUCCAUACUUAAGUUUGGGAGUGGUAGAGGAGCGUUCCUAUCGGCGUUGAAGCCGAAUCGUGAGGUUCGGUGGAGCGGUGGGAAGUGAGAAUGCUGGAAUGAGUAACAGAUCAGGCGGGUGAGAAUCCCGCCCACCGAAAGAGCGAGGUUUCCUGGGCCAUGGUUAUCAACCCAGGGUUAGUCGGGCCUAAGCCGAGGCGAAUAGCGUAGGCGAUGGACAUCAGGUUAAUAUUCCUGAACCGGCGGCAAUCUUGCAGGUAAUGCGCAACCUGGUAGCGCGGGCAGGCUGAUGGUAUGUCUGUCUAAGCGUCUAGGCCGGCCGGUUUUCGGACCGAUCCGGCUGAAGCGCGAAUGGGACUGUCCGUUCGGACGGGACCCGCGUGAGCCAAGUUGACCAGAAAAGUUUACCUGUGCCAAAUUGCUGUCCGCCCGUACCGCAGACCGAUAAGGUGCUCGGGUCGAGCAGACCAAGGUGAAACGAGAGAACCUUUGCUAAGGAACUCGGCAAUACAGCGUCCGUAACUUCGGGAUAAGGACUGCCCCGUGCGGUGCGCUCCGGGAGGGAGGCGAAAGCUUCCUUCCCAGAACGUGCCGCGUGGGGCCGCAGCGAAAGAACCCAUACGACUGUUUAUCAAAAACACAGGUCUCUGCUAACACGAAAGUGGAUGUAUAGGGGCUGACGCCUGCCCGGUGCCGGAAGGUUAAGGGGAGGACUUAACGGUCUGAACUGAAGCCCCGGUGAACGGCGGCGGUAACUAUAACCGUCCUAAGGUAGCGAAAUUCCUUGUCGGGUAAGUUCCGACCCGCACGAAUGGCGUAACGAUAUGGGUACUGUCUCAGCAAAGGACUCGGUGAAAGUGCAUUGGCGGUAAAGAUGCCGUCUGUCCGCACCAGGACGAGAAGACCCCGUGGAGCUUUACUACAGCUUGAUAUUGAACCGGAUGCAUUCACGUGUAGCAUAGGUGGGAGACUUGGAAACCGAGACGCUAGUCUUGGCGGAGUCGCCAGUGAAAUACCACCCUUGGAUGUGUCUUGUUCUCACACCUGGUCCUCAAGUUGGAGAUUAUUCCUAGUCUCCAGCUUCAGGAUCAGGGACAGUGUCUGGCGGGUAGUUUAACUGGGGCGGUUGCCUCCUAAAGAGUAGCGGAGGCGUUCCAAGGUCGGCUAGCUUCGGAUGGAAAUCGAAGUGGUAGUGCAAACGCAGAAGCCGGCUUGACUGUGAGGCUUACAGGCCAAUCAGGUACGAAAGUAGGAGUUAGUGGUCCGCUGUACGAAUUGACAUUUGUUAAUUAAUGAGUGUGGGAUCGACAGCGCAAACGGAUAAAAGUUACCCCGGGGAUAACAGGCUAAUCACGCCCAAUAGUUCACAUAGACGGCGUGGUUUGGCACCUCGAUGUCGGCUCAUCACAUCCUGGGGCUGGAGAAGGUCCCAAGGGUUCGGCUGUUCGCCGAUUAAAGUGGUACGCGAGCUGGGUUCAGAACGUCGUGAGACAGUUUGGUCGUUAUCCGGUGUGGACGAUAAGAAACGUGAGAGAAGUUGCCCCUAGUACGAGAGGACCGGGGUGAACGCACCUCUGGUGUACGGGUUGUGGCGCCAGCCGCAUCGCCCGGUAGCUAUGUGCGGCCGUGAUAAGCGCUGAAAGCAUAUUAAGCGCGAAGCCGACCUCAAGAUAACGUUUCUCUAUGAGGACCCUGAAAGACGAUCAGGUUGAUAGGUGCAAGGUGUAAGCGCGGCAACGCGUUCAGCCGAAGCAUACUAACAGUCCCAUCGACUUUUUGU
rnacentral:rRNA from 1 species